AGGCGGGUAGCUCAGUGGGAGAGCAUCGGCCUUACAAGCCGAGGGUCGCGGGUUCAAGCCCCGCUCCGCCUACCA
rnacentral:tRNA from 1 species